rnacentral:siRNA from 1 species
UGGGCUGACCAUUGGACAAU